rnacentral:rRNA from 1 species
UACGUAGGGCGCAAGCGUUAUCCGGAAUUAUUGGGCGUAAAGAGCUCGUAGGCGGUUUGUCGCGUCUGCCGUGAAAGUCCGGGGCUCAACUCCGGAUCUGCGGUGGGUACGGGCAGACUAGAGUGAUGUAGGGGAGACUGGAAUUCCUGGUGUAGCGGUGAAAUGCGCAGAUAUCAGGAGGAACACCGAUGGCGAAGGCAGGUCUCUGGGCCGUUACUGACGCUGAGGAGCGAAAGCGUGGGGAGCGAACAGG